GAUGAACGCUGACAGAAUGCUUAACACAUGCAAGUCAACUGUGGCGGACGGGUGAGUAACGCGUAUAGAACGGGCCUCACAGGUAGGCACAACAUUUGGAAACGAAUGCUAGUACCUAAUUCCGUGGUAGAGCUUUGCGUCCCAUUAGCUAGUUGGAGAGGUAACGGCUCACCAAGGCGAUGAUGGGUAGCCGGCCUGAGAGGGUGAUCGGCCACAAGGGGACUGAGACGCGACCCGUAGUCCUACGGGGGGCAGGAGUGGGGACUAGUGGACAAUGGACCAAAGUCUGAUCCAGCAAUUCUGGGUGCACGAUGAAGUUUUCGAGAUGUAAAGGGCUUUCAGUUGAGGAGCGGUACCAACAGAAGAAGUGACGGCUAAAUACGUGCCAGCAGCCGCGGUAAUUC
rnacentral:rRNA from 1 species